rnacentral:lncRNA from 1 species
UUCCCAUUAGCGUCUCUGAAGAUUUAUGCAGAAAACUGACAGAGGACCAAGUGGGUCCUACGACUUGGAAGCACGUUUCACGCAUCCUUCUUUGCACAGUUCGGCUGUGUUCAGGGAUCGAUGUGAAAUUCCCUGUGGCCAGUUUGUUGUUAGUCUGCUGCCUCUUCAAGAGUAAGCGUGAAGUAACUGGGAUCCAGUAAGUAGGUAACUGGGUAGUUGGCCAGCUUCUGUGUAAGAUAUGAUGUGUUAGAGUUGAGUUUGAAUAUCUUUAUUAAUACUUUAUGAUAUUGGGCACAUGGUGCAAAGAGCCAGCCCAUUGGAAAAGACCUUGAUGCUGGGAAAGAUUAAGGGUAGGAGAAGAAGGGGGCGACAGAGUUUGAGAUGGUUGGAUGGCAUCACUGACUCAAUGGAUACGUAUUUGAGCAAACUCUGGAGAUAAUGAAGGACAGGGAAGCCUGGCGUGCUGCAGUCUGGGUCACAAAGAGUUGGACAUGACUUAGUGACUGAACAACAACAGUAUUAAUACUUUUCAAAGGUAUAUUCCAACUCUAAGACUUUAUCUGCUAGUUACAGUUUACAAAUAGAUCAUCUGAAACUCUCAGGUGAGUUUUCUUAGCAAAGGUCUAUUUUUAAACAUGGAGUAGAAAAGGCAAGCUUAGAUUUAAAUUGGCUCCUUUCCCUCCUGUCUUUUCACCACCAAGAUAAAGGCAUUAUCUAUAAUCUACAUGACUUGAUUAUGUCUAAUCCUGUUCUUUAGAUGAACUUCCAGAAGCACUCCUUGGGUAGGAUCUCAGGAGACUCAGGAAACUGGCUAAAUAAACACAAUACCUGUAUCCCCAUUGUGAGCUCCUGUUUGCUCAGCCGUGCAUCUGCAGCUGUAGACAGGACAUGGAAAUCCUUGCUGACUCACAGAAUGACCUUUCAUGAACUGAGGUAAUUCAACCACCUGCUCACAAACCAGAAAUUCCAGAAAACAUUUUCCUCCCCAAACUUUACUCUGAAACACAGGGUUAGACUAGUUCAGUGCAGGCAUCACAGUAAGUCCCCUACAUACGAACCUUUAAGUGCAAAUUUUCAAAGACGCGAACACUCUUCUUGUUCACUCGACGCC